AUUGCUUCUUGAAUAACCGAUUGCAGAUAAUAUCUCGUUUGCAGGCGGUUCAGACAGGGGCAUAGAACAAAUCUGAAGCCCCACGAGGGAAGGGUUGUUUCCGUUGACCCUUUCUCGUUUGGGUUUCAUAGAUUU